rnacentral:rRNA from 1 species
AAACUGACCAAUGCGCGAAAGCGUGAGUCGGUCAAUCCGAGUGUAGACCCAUCGGUUUACUUUUGUCAAGUAUACAACGCUUGGCGAAUAAUGUGAGGGCAAGACUGGUGCCAGCCGCCGCGGUAAAACCAGCUCAUAGAGUGGCGAUCAUGAUUAUUUGGCUUAAAGUGUGCGUAGCAGGGAAUUCUAAGUCCUCUGUGAAAUGUCAGGUCUUAAGCUUGACACGUGCAGAGGAUACUGGAAUCCUUGGGACUGGGAUAGGUGUAAUGUACGGUUUGGGUAGGGGUGAAAUCCGAUAAUCCAAGCCGGACAACCGGUGGCGAAGGCGUUACACUGGAACAGGUCCGACUGUGAGGCACGAAAGCUAGGGUCGCGAGCCGGAUUAGAUACCCGGGUAGUCCUAUGCUGUAAACGAUGCUCACUAAGUGUUAGGUAAUGCAAGACAUUCUCUAGUGCCGAAGCGAAAGCGUUAAGUGAGCCGCCUGGAAGUACGUUCGCAAGA